rnacentral:miRNA from 3 species
UGAGGUAGUGUUUCGAAUGUCU